rnacentral:rRNA from 1 species
AUGCCAAACAUUGGCAUGCCAAUUUUUGGCAGCAAACCAAUUAUCCCCCAAGUCUCCUGGAUCACGUUCGGUGUGCUUGAGGCCCUGUCAGGAGCGGUGGCCGCUAGGCUUGCUGCUGCUAAUGCAAAUUCUGAAGCUAUGUUUAAUUUUAGUGCUAAGAAGAAGCCUAAGCAGGUUAGGCCAAAGAGUAUGGGAAAGAAAGAAAAGAAGGAAGGAGGAAGUGAGAGUUAUGAGCAUGUGUUGUAUGGUGGUAUGUACGCUUCCUCUAAGAGAGUGUGCAUGGGUAGGGUAGAAACAGUAACGGAUGGAGAUGGGGUCACUACACAUGUAAUAAAGGAGAUAGAGGGGAAAGAAGAGGAAUAUGUGCAGCAGAGGAGAGAAUCGGUUGGAGAUGAUAGCGCAUCGGCGGCCUCCGAGGAGGAGGUACUCCAGGCAGUGAAUACUGGCACUAUACCUAAUGGGUGA